UACGUAGGGUGCAAGCGUUGUCCGGAAUUAUUGGGCGUAAAGAGCUCGUAGGCGGUCUGUCACGUCGGCUGUGAAAACCCGAGGCUCAACCUCGGGCCUGCAGUCGAUACGGGCAAACUAGAGUACUGCAGGGGAGACUGGAAUUCCUGGUGUAGCGGUGAAAUGCGCAGAUAUCAGGAGGAACACCGGUGGCGAAGGCGGGAUCCUGGGCCAGUACUGACGCUGAGGAGCGAAAGCGUGGGGAGCAAACAGG
rnacentral:rRNA from 1 species